UGGCAGGGCAUCCUGCCCUUCCGUAACCGCUCUUCGGAGCA
rfam:Synechococcus WH7803 complete genome sequence.